AGUACGUGAAACUGCUUAGAGGUUAAGCCCGAUGAACCUGAAUAUCCAUUAUGGAAAAUUCAAUACUAAUAUAAAAAUAUAUAAAAAAUAUUUUAACAAUAGUGUGCAAUUUUUCCAUAUAAGGACAUUGUAAUCUGUUAAUGUAAUAAAUAUUUAUCAUAAGAUCCAUUACUUAAGUUUAUUCAAAUUGUUUAUCUUCGGAUUUUCAACAUAAAAUAAAUGUUUUGGAUUUGAUAAAUCAUUGACAGAUAUAAUUAUAUAUUGUGCUUAAAUUUUUCGGAAUUUUACAAUGGUAAAUAGAUCUAUUGAUUUGUUUAUUUAUAUUGUAUGCACUUUUAUGAUUAACAAUGCGAUAGAUUCAGGAUACCUUCGGGACCCGUCUUGAAACACGGACCAAGGAGUCUAACAUAUGUGCAAGUCAUUGGGUAUUUUUAAUAAAACCCAAUGGCAUAAUUAACUUAACUUAAUUUAAUGGGAUUAGUUUAUAAUUUGUUAUGAAUUAUUUAUUCAAUCCCGGGGCGUUCUAUACAGUUAUGCAUAAUGAUAUUUAUAUUAUUUAUGCCUCUAACUAGAGCGUACCUUGAGC
rnacentral:rRNA from 1 species